GAUGAACGCUGGCGGCGUGCUUAACACAUGCAAGUCGAACGAAGACAUCUGAGUGCUUGCACUUGGAUGGACUGAGUGGCGGACGGGUGAGUAACGCGUGGGUAACCUGCCUUAUACAGGGGGAUAACAGUUGGAAACGACUGCUAAUACCGCAUAAGCGCACGGUAUCGCAUGAUACAGUGUGAAAAACUCCGGUGGUAUAAGAUGGACCCGCGUCUGAUUAGCUUGUUGGUGAGGUAACGGCCCACCAAGGCGACGAUCAGUAGCCGGCCUGAGAGGAUGAACGGCCACACUGGAACUGAGACACGGUCCAGACUCCUACGGGAGGCAGCAGUGGGGAAUCUUCCCGGCAAUGGGCGAAAGCCUGACGGAGCAACGCCGCGUGAGUGAUGACGGCCUCGGUUGUAAGACUCUGUGAUCCGGACGAAAGGCAGAGUGCGAAGAACGAAACUA
rnacentral:rRNA from 1 species